rnacentral:rRNA from 1 species
UACGAAGGGGGCUAGCGUUGCUCGGAAUCACUGGGCGUAAAGCGCACGUAGGCGGCUUGUUAAGUCAGGGGGUGAAAUCCUGGAGCUCAACUCCAGAACUGCCUUUGAUACUGGCGAGCUUGAGUCCGGGAGAGGUGAGUGGAACUGCGAGUGUAGAGGUGAAAUUCGUAGAUAUUCGCAAGAACACCAGUGGCGAAGGCGGCUCACUGGCCCGGUAC